UUGGUUGGGGGGCACAAUUCCCGUACACGAGGCUACAACUCG
rnacentral:tRNA from 1 species